UACGUAGGGGGCAAGCGUUGUCCGGAAUCAUUGGGCGUAAAGCGCACGUAGGCGGCAUUGCAAGUCGGAUGUGAAAUCUUAUGGCUUAACCAUAAAAGUGCAUCCGAAACUGCAGUGCUUGAGUACUUAAGAGGAUCGCGGAAUUCCCGGUGUAGAGGUGAAAUUCGUAGAUAUCGGGAGGAACACCAGUGGCGAAGGCGGCGAUCUGGGAAGAUACUGACGCUGAGGUGCGAAAGCGUGGGGAGCAAACAGG
rnacentral:rRNA from 1 species